ensembl:misc_RNA 7SK 7SK RNA
ACAUGGGUUAGCAUGCGAAGAAUCGAGUAACCUCCUUUAAUGUCAAGACCUUUUUGAUUGGGCUGGCUGGGCAGGUGUUCCCUCCUCCCUCACUGCUCUUACAUCUGUCCUGAAGCUGCACUCUCGGUGAAGAGGACGACCACCCUGAUAGAGGAGGACCGUUUCCUCCAUCAAGGGUACACGAGCAGCUGUGUGCCCCUGCUGGAACCUCCAAGCGAGAUCUCAAGGCCCUUUUUAUCAUGUAACAAGUACAUAAAAACAUAUCUUUCAUGCUGGCACGUGGCCCCGCUUUCUAA